AAGGGUGACGAAGCGACGCCGCGUGUGGGAAGAAGGCCUUCGGGUUGUAAACCACUGUCGGGAGUUAGGAAAUGCAGGUGCGUUAAUAGCGCACUUGCUUGACUAAGGCUCCAGAGGAAGCCACGGCUAACUCUGUGCCAGCAGCCGCGGUAAUACAGAGGCGGCAAGCGUUGUUCGGAAUUAUUGGGCGUAAAGAGCACGUAGGCGGCCUUGCAAGUCAGUUGUGAAAGCCUACCGCUUAACGGAAGAACGGCAUCUGAUACUACAGGGCUUGAGUACGGGAGGGGAGAGUGGAACUUCUGGUGGAGCGGUGAAAUGCGUAGAUAUCAGAAGGAACGCCGGCGGCGAAAGCGACUCUCUGGUCCGAAACUGACGCUGAGUGUGCGAAAGCUAGGGGAGCAAACGGGAUUAGAUACCCCGGUAGUCCUAGCCGUAAACGAUGGGCACUAAGUAGAGGGAAUU
rnacentral:rRNA from 1 species